rnacentral:rRNA from 1 species
UACGUAGGUGGCAAGCGUUGUCCGGAUUUACUGGGCGUAAAGAGCGCGCAGGCGGUCGUUCAAGUCGCGUGUGAAAGCCCCCGGCUCAACUGGGGAGGGUCACGCGAUACUGAUCGACUCGAAGGCAGGAGAGGGAAGUGGAAUUCCCGGUGUAGUGGUGAAAUGCGUAGAUAUCGGGAGGAACACCGGUGGCGAAGGCGGCCCCCUGGUUGGAUACUGACGCUGAGACGCGAAAGCGUGGGGAGCAAACAGG